UGAUUAUCGUCUCAGCAUUCAUCAGGCUCAUCAACACAAAGUCAAGCAUCGGAGGGGAAAAGUGCAAAAACUGGCCAGAGAUCAGAGCUGAGGGGCGA